AUUGAACGCUGGCGGCAGGCCUAACACAUGCAAGUCGAACGAGAGGCGGACGGGUGAGCAAUGUCUGGGAAACUGACUGAUGGAGGGGGAUAACUACUGGAAACGGUAGCCACUACCGUAUACCAUCGGCUGGGCCCAGAUGGGAUGAGCUAGUAGGUGGGGUAAAGGCUCACCUAGGCGACGAUCCCUAGCUGGUCUGAGAGGAUGACCAGCCACACUGGAACUGAGACACGGUCCAGACUCCUACGGGAGGCAGCAGUGGGGAAUAUUGGACAAUGGGCGAAAGCCUGAUGCAGCCAUGCCGCGUGUGUGAAGAAGGCCUUCGGGUUGUAAAGUACUUUCAGCGGGGAGGCGUUACCCGCAGAAGAAGCACCGGCUAACUCCGUGCCAGCAGCCGCGGUAAUUC
rnacentral:rRNA from 1 species